rnacentral:rRNA from 1 species
AUGACACACCUUACAGACAGGGCUCUCAACGGUUUCACAACCCUCGAAGCACCAGAACGCUUCAAAUCAUGGGAGCUUAGUAUCUCUAUAGAUACAACAGAUAAAACAAACUUUGUAUUGUCGAUAUUGAUAUUUGUUGAGAUUCUGCUACCUUGCAAAAUGUUGAACAAUGAAGUUCUGAUUAUGUCUUCACACUGCUGUAAAGAACACAAGGGUGACUUAACAGACGAGCAAAGUGAGCAGAGAAACGCGCGGAGGCGAGCAAAUUAUCGAAAAAAAGUGGGUGACGGAACGAUCGAUCUUGAAGAAAAAAAAUCAGAAAUUGCGAGAAUGGCGCGUGCAACACCCAAAAACCAUGAGUGA